UGCAGAAUCCCGUGAACCAUCGAGUCUUUGAACGCAAGUUGCGCCUGAUGCCAUUAGGUUGAGGGCACGUCUGCCUGGGCGUCACAUAUCGAAGCCUCUUGCCAAUUUCCUAAUGAUAGGUAUUGUGCAGGGUGAAUGUUGGCCUCCCGUGAGCUCCAUCGUCUCAUGGUUGGUUGAAAAUCGAGACCUUGGUAGUUUGUGCCAUGAUAGAUGGUGGUUGUGUUACGCACGAGCCCAAAUAAUCAUGUGCUGCUCUAUCGAAUUUAGCCUCUUUUACCCACAUGUGUUUCUAAACGCUCGUGAUGAGACCUCAGGUCAGGCGGGGCUACCCGCUGAAUUUAAGCAUAUCAAUAAGCGGAGGAAAAGAAACUAACAAGGAUUCCCUUAGUAACGGCGAGCGAACCGGGAUAAGCCCACCAUGAGAAUCGGUCGCCCUCGGCGUUCGA
rnacentral:rRNA from 1 species